UUGAUUUUAAAAGGAAAGGGAGGGACAUCACAGCAUUGCUCCACCAUCCAUGGAGCUCCUCAGUGGUGCUAUUCAUGGUGCUUGCACGAUACUGGGACUCAAAGAUGUACAUGUAAGAACUGCUCUAUACUGAUUUAUUUGCCAGAGACAAGGAGAAAGAGAGAGACCACAGCACUGAAGUUUCCUUCAAUGUGGUGGGGUCUGAACUUGAACCUGGGUCAUGCAUAUAUCAAAAGCAGUGCACUAUCCAAGUGAGCUAUGUCACUCACCCAGCUUCAUUUAAUUGCAUUAAAAACCUGAUUCAGGGUGACUAUCAUCAGAUAGAGUAUAGGACUUGCAUGCCUGAGACCUUGGGUUCAAUCCCCAACACAGCAUAUGCAAGAAUGGUGCUCUGUACCACCACCACACAUAUGCAUGUGUACACACAAACACACACAGACACACACACAGUUAUUUUUAUCUUUAA